CUCACCUCCGACCAGCACCUGACGACUCUCCUCCUCCUUCUCCACCUCCGACCGUUCUCCACCCAAUGUUGGAGCACCACUUCUCUCAUCCAUUUUGAUUUCGGCGCAUCUCUUCUCUCAUCUCUUUUCUCAGAUUCACCGAAUCCGCCAACAACGCCAGGGCUCGCCUUGUUCCCUCGUUGAGCCAAGGAAGACGAGACCGUAAAGGUGAAGACGCAUUCGAUUCAGGUGGACCGUCUCCUGCUGGUGCAGGUAGCUUUAGCAUAUCAACUGUACAGACAAAUCCUUUGAAUCCUCAUCCUGCACCAUCGUUUUCUCAAACAUUUUCAAGUCCUUUUAAUACCUCAAUCUCAUCUGGUUUAUUUGCCCAAAAACCCUCAUCCUUUGCAUACUCCCAGUAUGCAGAGCAGUUCAUUGGGUACUACAAGCAACCAACUGGGUAUUACUCAACCAUUUCCUGCUUUUCCUACUUUCCAGACAUCUCAACCUCUUCGGAGUAGUCCUUUUGGCUUCAGGCAACACUAACACCAUUAAUCA